GAUGAACGCUGGCGGCGUGCUUAACACAUGCAAGUCGAACGAAGCACUUUAUUUGAUUUCCUUCGGGACUGAUUAUUUUGUGACUGAGUGGCGGACGGGUGAGUAACGCGUGGGUAACCUGCCUUGUACAGGGGGAUAACAGUUGGAAACGGCUGCUAAUACCGCAUAAGCGCACAGCAUCGCAUGAUGCAGUGUGAAAAACUCCGGUGGUAUAAGAUGGACCCGCGUUGGAUUAGCUAGUUGGUGAGGUAACGGCCCACCAAGGCGACGAUCCAUAGCCGACCUGAUAGGGUGACCGGCCACAUUGGGACUGAGACAUGGCCCAAACUCCUACGGGAGGCAGCAGUGGGGAAUAUUGCACAAUGGGCGAAAGCCUGAUGCAGCGACGCCGCGUGAGCGAAGAAGUAUUUCGGUAUGUAAAGCUCUAUCAGCAGGGAAGAUAAUGACGUUACCUGAAUAAGAAGCACCGGCUAAAUACGUG
rnacentral:rRNA from 1 species